AACGAGCGCUGGCGGCAGGCUUAACACAUGCAAGUCGAACGCAUCCUUCGGGGUGAGUGGCAGACGGGUGAGUAACGCGUGGGAACGUGCCCUUCAGUUCGGGAUAACCCAGGGAAACUUGGGCUAAUACCGGAUACGUGCGAGAGCAGAAAGCUUUAUCGCUGAAGGAUCGGCCCGCGUCUGAUUAGCUAGUUGGUGGGGUAAUGGCCCACCAAGGCGACGAUCAGUAGCUGGGCUGAGAGGAUGAUCAGCCACAUUGGGACUGAGAACCGGCCCAAACUCCUACGGGAGGCAGCAGUGGGGAAUAUUGGACAAUGGGCGCAAGCCUGAUCCAGCCAUGCCGCGUGAGUGAUGAAGGCCUUAGGGUUGUAAAGCUCUUUCGUCCGGGACGAUAAUGACGGUACCGGAAGAAGAAGCCCCGGCUAACUUCGUGCCAGCAGCCGCCGUAAAAC
rnacentral:rRNA from 1 species